AUGAACGCUGGCGGCGUGCCUAAUACAUGCAAGUCGCGCGAACAGACGAGGAGCUUGCUCCUCUGACGUUAGCGGCGGACGGGUGAGUAACACGUGGAUAACCUACCUAUAAGACUGGGAUAACUUCGGGAAACCGGAGCUAAUACCGGAUAAUAUAUUGAACCGCAUGGUUCAAUAGUGAAAGACGGUUUUGCUGUCACUUAUAGAUGGAUCCGCGCCGCAUUAGCUAGUUGGUAAGGUAACGGCUUACCAAGGCAACGAUGCGUAGCCGACCUGAGAGGGUGAUCGGCCACACUGGAACUGAGACACGGUCCAGACUCCUACGGGAGGCAGCAGUAGGGAAUCUUCCACAAUGGGCGAAAGCUUGACGGAGCAACGCCGCGUGAGUGAUGAAGGUCUUCGGAUCGUAAAACUCUGUUAUUAGGGAAGAACAAAUGUGUAAGUAACUAUGCACGUCUUGACGGUACCUAAUCAGAAAGCCACGGCUAACUACGUG
rnacentral:rRNA from 1 species